UGGGUGGGGCUUCCCCAGGUUGGGCCUAGCACCUUGCUGGGCCCCAGGAAGGCUGUAUCCAGGUCACCACCUGGAGCCCCUUCCUCCUGCCCUGCUUAGUGACACAAGGCCCCUGUGGAUGCUUCUGGCUCCAACUUCCUGUAUAGCAGCCAAGAUGGAGCCGGGAGCUCCCUCCUCCUGCCUCUUGGGUCACUGGCCUUCCUAAAUUGCUUUCUCCUGGAGAUAGGGCAGAAGAGACCAGGACCUAGCUGGUGGAAGUUAUGACACGAGGAAGCUGUCCCCCAGAAGGAGGGCCCCUGCCAGCUCAGUCUUGGUCUCUCCUGCUGUGUCCCCCUGAGAAAGCACAUUGGGCUUCCCUCCAUCAUGGCCCCGCCUCGGACAUCACUCUGCUGCUGAUGGGUGGAGGGUGGCUAACCCGCCCCCAGGGCCAGAGGCAUCCUGCCCUCUGUUUACUCAACCCCCAGCCCUGCCACCCACCGUCACCUCUCUGGAAGGGCUUUGCUCUUGGCUGAGGACCACCCAACUGUCACAGUCACUCUCCCAGAGGCAACAAUGGCCCAGGAACGUUUUUCUGAAGACAUGGUAGGAGCUGGGGCCCCUCUCUUAGGGUUGUGGAGAAGGAGACGUGAUAAGUUACAGGAGUUGGUCACAAUGGGUCCCUGAUCUGGUCUGCAUGGCCUCCCCUGAGUCGCUCCAAGUCUCUGUUUUCCAAAUCCACAAACUGGAGAGAACACGGCCUCCCACUCGGGCAUGAGGGAGGCUGCUUGGUCUAAUACCUGGCGGCCAUUCUACACAGCAUCCUAGUUCAUAAAGACUGAGUGUGUAUUAAACUAUAAAUAUGUCAGAGAGGAGCAUAGCCAUGCCACCGGAGGACACUCCCAAGGGUCCUUAUGACCUUUGCCAUGAAAUGAAAACUAUCACAAGGAGGAAAAGGGGAUCUAGAGAGAAGGGAUAGCAGAGGUCUCAGAAGAAAGAAGGAAGGAAGGAAGGAAAGAAGGCAGGAAGGGUCAGAGAGCGAGAGAACCGAGGGACGCAGGGCCAGCCUGCCAGACUGCUGCUUCCCCUGUCUGUGACAGCAGGACACCCAGGACCCACUCCUCAUCUGCAGAGCCAGACAUGGUAUAGGAACAGUGAUUUGCUUUAAUGUAAAUAUUUUGAUGUAUUUCUUUUCCUGAACUUUUAACCUUGAUGGUAAACAGGGCACAUACAGUAAAUGAAUUGUUUUUCUGAGAACUGACUUUUGAGGAAAUAGGAAAAAAAAAAGAAAGAUUUUUAUUAGCUAAUUAUCAGUCUAGCAUGUGAUUGAAAACCUUCUUAUUGUGCUUCUUAAGCCUGCUUCAGGAGAUUUUGGGCCACUAAAAGAGAGCCUUAGUUUAAUGUAUGGAAAUCAAAACCAUGACUAUGUGUUUGAGCCCAGAUUCAGAGAGCAAACCUGCAGACAGAAGGGAAGUCUCCUGCCAGGUCCCUGAGACAGCAAACCAUACAAGACUCCAGGUCCCAGUUUGCUGCCUGUAGAGACUCUAUUCCUUCCUGGUUCCUGUCCUACCCUGACCACUUUGUUUCAUGCUUAUCCAUUAGAGCAGGUUUUACGAUAGAAGAAGGAAUGUUAAGGUCCACUCUUAAUGUCCAAGGGGCUGCCUUCCUUCUCCCGGCAGAAGGCUGACUGGGCCAACCUUCUUCAGAGACCCUGUCUGUGCCAAUCCAUUGCAUAAAAUUAUUUUGUGAACCCGGCUGCAGUGGUGCCCACCUGUAACCCCAGGGGCUCGAGAGGCUGAGGCAGGAGGAUUGCAAGUUCAAAGCCAGCCUCAGCAACUUAGCAAGGUGCUAGGUAACUCAGUGAGGCCCUAAGCAACUUAGUGAGACUCUGUUUCUAAAUAAAAUAUUGAAAAGGGCUGAGGAUGUGGCCGAGUGGUUAAACACCCCUAGGUUCAGUCUCUCGUACCAAAAAAAAAAAAAAAAAAAAAAGGUUAUUUUGUGACAAUGACAGGAACCACACCAACUUGAGUCCCACUACUGACGGUUCCAUUGAGAGUCUCCCUUCACCUCUGUCCUGUAAUUUCUCUGUUACCUGAAGAUCUGCUGCCUUGGUGUUAGAUCUCUCAUGUGCUUUGAAAUACCUACAGGGAUGAAGACACCUCGGAUCCCAUGUCCUGUGAAGCCCCACUGUAACAGAGCAAUGCGGGGCCGGAAGGGCCCACGAGGCCAACAGCGACCUGGCCUCAGGACAAGUCUUCACCGGGUCGCCCAGGGCUUCUGUGUCUAGCAGAACCAGUCCUUUAAAGCUAAGCCAAGGACACUGGGAUAAGUAUCCCAGGUCUUCCAAGAUGCGUGGCAAUGCCAACGAAGCUUCCAGGCAAGAUUUUCCUUGCAGUCUUAGAACGGGGAGGAAGGUCGCAGGAAAAAUGAAAUGACCCACAGGACCUUUGUUAAAGGACGGGAUUGGGAUAGACCACAGAAUGAGUUAAGACGGGCAGCUCCUAGGAAGUCAGUCCCCAGCUCUCCCAGUCUCCAUCCUUCUCUCCUCCACUUCCUUUCAGAGUAAAUUAGAGAAUCGGCUAAAAUCCAAGUCAAGUGUGUGGUAUAUUUAUCUGAUUGACCUCCUUCUCCUCAUCAUAUCUUAUCUUCACUUGUAAAUUAUUAGCAUCCUCCUCCUGGUCUCCAGGCACAUUAUUCGCACGAUUUCUUUAAAUGUUAGUCAGUCUCUCUGUCUCUGUCUCUGUCUCUGUCUCUCUCUCUGUCUCUCUCUCUCUCUCUCUCUCUCUCUCACACACACACACACACACACACACCUACACACACAUACACCCCUGUCCUGCAGAAACCAUAGCUACUGUGAACAGUUCAUCCUCUGUCAUUCACUGGGAGCUUUGGUCUAGGAAGCCGCUUCUGGUGCUACUGGUGACCAAGUCCACACCACGCAAGGAGCCACUCUCCCCCGCAAUAUAACAAGACAUCAGGUAAACACUAAAGAAUGAAAUUGUGGGAAGCUGAGGCAGGAGAAUGGCAAGUUUAUGGCCAGCCUCUACAACUUAGAGAGGUCCUAAGCAAUGUAGGGAGACCCAAUGUCAAAAAAUAAAAAGGGGCUGGGAUGUGGCUCAAUAGGUAAUCAAUGGUUUAGUGUGCGCGAGUUCAAUCCCUGAUACAGGGAGAAAAAAAAAAGAACUGGGUAUAGAUCAAUGAUAAAGCAUCUCUGGAUUCAUUCCCUGGUACAAAAAAAAAGAAACUUCAUUUAUUUUUCUACCUAUGUCCCUUCUAGUUGAUAAACAUUCUCGGUAGUGUUCCAACUGGUAAGUCCGGGCAUCUAUAAGGCUCUGUGAAUCAAGUAUUUUUGAGAUCUAUUAGGAAAAGGUGGGUUUGUUUCACCCGGAGGCUCAUCAUGUUACUGCAAACAACCUGAGUGGUUGGUAUGAUCAUCUCCGAUUGAUCACCAAUACCCCAGGCCCAAGGUGAAGUUCUGCAGCCAGAAACUAGAUCAAUCGGAAUGCAAGCCCCCUCCCCACUGCCUCCAGGACCCCUGGGCCAAGGUGAGAAGGUGGGCCCAGCCCAGUACUUCCAGGUCCCCACGCUCUGUGCCUGCCUGUCACACGUACCCCAGCAGCGUGAGAGCUCCUUACUCUGCAUCUUGAAGGAACCCUCUUCCAGAAAGACCUCCCCCUCUGGGCGGCAAGACCCAGUGACAGGCUGGUGGCCCUCCCUCCACUGCGUGAGACCUGAAGGAAAUGUUACCUGGACUGGUGGAGGCAGACGUGUCUCUCCUAUUUUCUGCCGGGUUUUUUUUUUUUGUUGUUGUUGUUUUACUUAAAGGAGGUGAGGAACCCUGGAAAACGGGGAAUCCCACUUUUUUGAAGUCAUCAGCCAUCAAUUCUCAGAACUGUAACCACAAAUCACCCAAAAGCAAAACCCUGGAGAGGAGGCAUGGAGGUGGGCUGGGAAUUCUGUGUGUCCCCUGAGCAAGUGCCCCUGACUCAUGCCACGCUGUUGGAGAGCGCUGCCAUGACCCACUGUGUCCCGGACAUAGUCUGAGCUGUGUGCUUCUCUCCUUCCACAGAUGGCAGAAUCGGGGAGACCAAAUGCAGCACGAAGAAUUGUUUCAAAAACGCUUGCACCCUCUCACAAAAAUGGGGAACUCGAUCCCUGUGGGUCAGCUCUGUGUUUUGAAAAAAGGAAAGUAGGGGUCAUUCUUUGCCCUGAAAGUUCCCACUCAUUGUUGAGUAAACAUCAUAAAUCCAUCUCAGAGACAGGCUGCUGGACUCAAAUUACCUCCUGCUACAAUUGUAGCUUCAAGUUCUAAUGCUCAACAUGAAUAACAUUGUCCCCCUCACAGGUCUGAUUAAUGAGACAUUUUGCCAACUUCGGGGUGGAAGAUCGGCUCCCAGCCCCUCCCUCUCCCCCCUGUGACUGGGUAACCAUUUCAGCACAUUCCCCCCCAUUAAGUCCUACAGGGCAGCCGAGUGCCACAAAAACUAAAGGAUAUGGGACAGACACCAGGGUCUCUCUGGGCAGCCCUUACCAGCUGACAGAGGGCAGGUUUGCUCGGGUCUGCCCCAAGAAAUUCAGAACAUUCCAUGCACACUGCGCCAUUUGCCUGUGGCCAUGUGGAGCCUGCAGGUCACUCCUAUAGGACCAUCUGCUUCCCCCGGUAGUUGUGUGUGCCCUACUUGCCUGCAAAGUGACCAAGGCCACAUUUGAAAGUGUGGCAGAAAGUCACAUUCAAGAGGUGACCCAAAUAAGCAUUUCACACCCAACCAGAGAAGAGUGGGGAUUUUGUCUGAUCUAGAAAGUGUCUGCUUCCACAUAAUUCCUGGAAGGAGCACUGAUCACAUGGGAGGAGCCCCACCGGGAGCCGUGGGGGUGAGGGGGGGGACCCCAGGGCUUGCUGAGUCUGCCCUACAGACACGCUCUCAUUUGCCAUCCUCCUGAGCAGUCAAGGACAUCAUCUCUGGGUUUCCCAGAUGAUCGAGCCGUGGCUUAUGGGCUGGUGGCACAGCCAGGAUCUGCGCUCUGGUCUCAAGUGUGAAAGUCGCACUCACCCUCUCGCCCUGUGCCUUCCUUCUCCACACCUGCAUGUGCGCACACACCCCCUACUCCCUCGUGGGCAUCAGUUACAUCAGCGUGGACACAUCCCCAGCAUGACCUGGAUCUGUCCAGAUUUGACGGAUUGAAAGCUACGUUUUCCAUGCAAUUGAGGCUUUAUAUAAUUAUUAUUUCAGGUGAGUUUGAUUUGCUUUUACACCAGGGUUCAGUAAGCAUCUUUCUCAAGGCCACAUGGUGCAUAUGCAGACUUUGCAGCCCCUACGGUCUCUGUGACCGUCACUCAGCUCCGCCACUGCAGCACAGAGCUGGCCACAGGCAAGACGUGCAGGAAGGAGAGUGGCUGUGUUCCAGUAAAACUUUAUUUAAAAAACUGAGCGGCAGGCAGGUUUGGCCUCAGACCAUAGUUUGGGACCCCAGGGCUUUCAACCCAUCAAGUUGUCAUAGUCUGGUGUUUCAGACACUGGGUCUGUCCCGGCGGUGGCUGGGGCUAGCACCCUUGCCAUCAGGGUGUGGGAGUUGCCACUGCUUAGGAAGCACUGGACGAGGAAUGAGGCGGCUCUCAGCAGGGGAGGCCGGUCCAUCAGAGCUGCUGGUGGGGAGUCCUUUGUGUGUGGGGACAUCUGCCCAGGAGCCUUCCUUGGGAAGCCCUUGAUCACACCAUCGUCUUCCUUUUCUCUGCCCUCUCCACCUGUUCCCACUCAAAGGGACCCACCUGAGUUGUUUUGACCCACACAGUGUCCUAUUCACCCUCCGAGCCACACUGUGGCCUCAUUGGGUCAUCUGCGUGGCCGUUUGGAAGGUGUGGGUAGGGCAGGGCUGCAGGGGGCUCAGUGUGUCUCCUUCCUCUUCAACCCUGCCACUGCCACCGCGCUCUGGAAGGUGCUUCUGGUCCCUUAGACCCUCCCAAACCUCGCAAGGCCGAGGCUCCCGGCUUGAGAGACUGUUGGGAAGACCUGGCUCAGGAGAAC
rnacentral:lncRNA from 1 species